GAAGCCUACGGGGGGCGGCAGUCGGGAAUAUUGCACAAUGGAGGAAACUCUGAUGCAGUGACACCGCGUAUACGAAGAAGGUUUUCGGAUUGUAAACCUCUGUCCUCUGUGAAGAUGAUGACGGUAGCAGAGGAGGAAGCUCCGGCUAACUACGUGCCAGCAGCCGCGGUAAUACGUAGGGAGCGAGCGUUGUCCGGAUUUACUGGGUGUAAAGGGUGCGUAGGCGGCUUGGCAAGUCAGUAGUGAAAUCCAUGGGCUUAACCCAUGAACUGCUAUUGAAACUGUGGAGC
rnacentral:rRNA from 1 species